AAUAGAUACCCCGGUAGUCCACGCCGUAAACGUUGGGCACUAGGUGUGGGACCUUAUCAACGGGUUCCGUGCCGUAGCUAACGCAUUAAGUGCCCCGCCUGGGGAGUACGGCCGCAAGGCUAAAACUCAAAGGAAUUGACGGGGGCCCGCACAAGCGGCGGAGCAUGUUGCUUAAUUCGAGGCAACGCGAAGAACCUUACCUAGGUUUGACAUGUAGGGAAAAGCCGUAGAGAUACGGUGUCCUUUUGGGCCCUACACAGGUGGUGCAUGGCUGUCGUCAGCCCGUGCCGUGAGAUGUUGGGUUAAGUCCCGCAACGAGCGCAACCCUUGUCCUAUGUUGCCAGCGGGUAAUGCCGGGGACUCGUAGGAGACUGCCGGGGUCAGCUCGGAGGAAGGUGGGACGACGUCAAGUCAGUCAUGGCCCCUUAUAUCUAGGGCUGCAAACAUGCUACAAUGGCCGAUACAAAGGGCUGCUAUACCGCGAGGUGGAGCGAAUCCCAUAAAGUCGGUCUCAGUUCGGAUUGGAGUCUGCAACUCGACUCCA
rnacentral:rRNA from 1 species